GCCGGAGUGGCGGAACUGGCAGACGCGCUGGACUCAAAAUCCAGUCCCUCCUCGGAGGGGUGUGGGUUCGAUUCCCUCCUCCGGCACUA
rnacentral:tRNA from 1 species